UACGUAGGGAGCGAGCGUUGUCCGGAUUCAUUGGGCGUAAAGAGCUCGUAGGCGGCUUGGUAAGUCGGAUGUGAAACCUCCAGGCUCAACCUGGAGUCGCCAUCCGAUACUGCCAUGGCUAGAGUCCGGUAGGGGCCCACGGAAUUCCUGGUGUAGCGGUGAAAUGCGCAGAUAUCAGGAGGAACACCAAUGGCGAAGGCAGCUCGCUGGGACGGUACUGACGCUGAGGCGCGAAAGCGUGGGGAGCAAACAGG
rnacentral:rRNA from 1 species